rnacentral:snoRNA from 1 species
AUGCAGUGAUGAGCCGACAGUGACUGAACUGGUAUUGUCUCCUUACUAAUGAGCUCUGACCAGGAAAUGAUGUCACAGUAAUCUUCUCUCUGAGCAG